GAUUUCUAUGCUUAUAGGAUGAACGAUGUGGUUAUUGGGAGGAUAAGAAAAAUAAUAAAGACAAAGACCAUUUGGAAACACCCACACAUAGACAGUGGACAAAGGAAGAAAGAAAUGCUAACUAUAGAAAUAAGUUGUUUAUCCUGAAGAAAGUAAUUAUCAUUGUGCAGGAAGCACAAUGAGACAACAGCAGUUCAUCGAUAAGUAUUUGGAGGAAGCAAUUAACAGGAAUGAAUAAAAAUUUCCCUGUACAAGACACUUGAGUAUACCAGGCUGGUGUUAGUGGAUUCCAGAGAGCUUCCAUAACAGAAACAGAGGGAUGUUUAUGCAAAAUAUGAAAAUGAGUAAAAGUUUCUCCAAAAUUUGCAAAUCAGUAAGACUAUGAAGAUGUAUGAAGACCAGAAUUGCCAAGGCUUUUCAUGCUAUGUACAACAUGAAAAAAACUGAUACAAAAAAGCAAAAUCAUUUAUUUUCAAAGUGCAAAUACUACAGGGAGAAAAGUCAACUUUAAAGGUACUAUAACUAUAUCCAUACCUGUUUUGGUCCCUCUGAAUAUAUUACUUCUACUACCGUCGUCAUCCAUUAUGGCUUGGGAAGGGAACUAAGAAGAGAGGAAUAUGAUGUCAGUGGAACAGCAAAGCUUGCCUGCAUUUCCUCCCAGGAACAUAGGAGAACCAAGCGCUAGGCCUAGAGCCUAUGUGAAAUGUAUGAAUUGCUCUGCAGUCUGUAGGAGAGAGGAUAAGGUCCUUGUCCAAAUAUGCAAAGCCGCAUUCAACAACAGUAAAUCAACAUAAGAAUGCAGGGACAAGAUGAUGCAGAUACGCCCAAUUCAAAACAUUUGCAUUAAAGUGCACCUGAUCCAUAUAUGGUAGUUUGGAAGCUCAGAAGAAUUCAGUGAAUUCUGAUCAAUGCACGAGAUAUACAUGUACAGUUUAAAGGGAGCUCUGUAAAAUUAAGGAAGAGAUGCUGGCAAGAGGCCCACAAAGCACUGUCAGGUCCUGUCUUGCCAUGUCUCUCCUUGAAGUUGCCAGAGAGAGUGAUAAGAAAGACAGAAAAAAAUGAAGAAAGGGCAGAAGACUGAGAACAGGCAUCACUUGAAAGACCAUUGAGUUGUUUCUAUCACUUGCUGAAUUGCUCAGUUCCAUGUACAGUAAAUAAUUUUGCUAUCACUGCUGUCAUUGGUACAUUUAGUGGUUUGGGUGAUCUUUAUUUUGCUUCAAGAUGACCAUAUGAAGAAUCCAUGGAGUACAAAGGCAUGUUUUGCUUAACUUGAAUUCAGAUAGCUGCAGCUAUCUGCAGUGACUGCACUGGAAAGACACCUGAGAAUGUGAGUGCUUUUCCUGGAAUUAGAAAGCAAGGGUGAAUGUGAAGAAGACUGAAGGCCUUGAUAUUAAGGAAGUCAUUUAUAUGAAAUACAGCAUGCCAUCCCAACAAAUGAUAAAAACUCAUGACUGCUGAACCAGAAAUAUCUGACUCCUUACAAUAUUUAUUGCAAAGUAGUAGUUUCCAGUGAAAAUUCCUGUGACAAAAGUGAAGGGGCUAUCUGCUAUUUAGGGUAUAUGGCAGAUGGCAAUGGGUCAUGUAGUGUAUCUCCCUGAUACUGUUCAUUUUCCAGGCCAGUUGGUUACAUUUGACAGGUCUACUCAGAAAUCAUUAACCUGAUCUGCCCAUGUCUGUCAUGUCUCUAGCAUAAUGCAUCUUCAUGGUAUAAGGUAAACUGGGUACCUGGAGGGUAAAGGAAAUAAAAAAGACUCAUAGCCUAUAUAAAUCAAAAGAAAAAGGAGAAAAGGAAGCCACUUAGAAGAGUAGGUGUCAUUGAUUGACUGUAAUUUUAAAGGGUCUUUCUUAUGAUGGACAAAUUUCUGAAGUGUUCAUUAACUAAUGGAAUUAUGGUGGCUGACUGCUGCUGUCUCCACAGAACAUCAGGUUAAAAAGCACAGAUAAAUAAUGGGUUUUCCUUUAUUAUGGAUCAGUGUCCUCACUGUCUGGAGCUCAUGUGAAGAUGCUGUUAAGGAUUAAGGGGCUUUCAUUACUGAAAUUCAUGUUUAUGCUUUUCUGUUCCUCAAUAAUGGUAUACACAUGCACAAGGGAAUAGGAAGGGGGAAAAGAAGGGAAGAUGGAAAUGUUGCCAGCAGAGAAGAAAAUUAUUCUGAAAUGCUUGGUAAUAAAUGCUUUUCCUACUGCAAAACACCAAAUGAAACUGAACUCAGAGGGUUAAACAAUAGAGGCAUAGCACCUGGUCUUUAAUAUAUUCAAUUAUCCAGAAAACAAAAUCAAUUUUGUUUUUGUUAAUAGCACUGAAAUAUGCAUUACACUAUUUUAAUUAAAGCAGUCUAUUACGCUUGCAAUUCAGUUCAUUCCUGCAUAUUCCCCUAGGGCAGUAGUCAUGUACUGUGAUAAAACAUAAUGAAAAUAAUUUAUAAAAGAAACAAUACAAUAAAUCAAUCUGAUGCCUAAUGAACCUUCAUUACAAGGAUGGAUGCAAUAUUUUCUUAGAAUAUGUAGUGCUUUCUCCUUAAAUUAUUGGAAGAAUGCCUCAAAGCACUUAAAAAAAUAGCACCU
rnacentral:lncRNA from 1 species